rnacentral:lncRNA from 1 species
CGGAAAACUAAGUAGGGAAAGAAUAGGAGGAAGUAGGCUUGCCAUUUGGCCAAACAACCUUUUCUUCAUUGAGCUCAAAGCUUAGCCGAUUCACAGUGGUGGUGGUGGUUAGGCAUAAUUGGCUUGCAAAUUUCUUUCUUUCUUUCGUAACUCCUUACUUUUGAACUGUCUUUGGGCAAUGGAGGCGAUGACAGCUUUUGAGAACAGCAAUCUCUAGGUGUUCAGGCACAUUGAAAAGAAACUUAAAACCUGGUGAAAGAAAGUGUGGUGGACAGAUGAUUUGCUAGUGUGGUGAUGUCUGUUGACGAUGCAUCUGCAAAUUAAGCAGAUACCGUCCACGUUUGUGUGAGAGAUGAGAAGCCUGAUUGGUGUCAGCACAAUGACCAUCAAAGGAGCAGGCUCUGCUGGUUGCUGAGAAGGAAGCCGGUUGCUGUUCCUUCUGCCCCUCCCUGGUUGAGAUUGGUGUGUUUAGAAUCUGCAGCAAGAAGAUAGCAAAGCUGAAGGCAGAAGUGUGAGCCUGCUAGACGUGGUGAGGAGCCUACGGCCUCCUUCUGGGCAUACCGCCUGUGUGCAGUACCCUCUCAGGGCAGAAGAGGGCACCAGGUCCUCUGAACCGAAGUUAGGGGAUGACGGUGAGCUGUGACAGGCGUGCUGGGAAUUGAACCCCGAUCCCCUCCCCGUAAGAGCAGCAAGUGCUCUCAACAGGUAGGCAGUCUCCAGGUUCUGUAGAAGAAACAUUAUUUGCAACAGGCAACACUUCAUUACUAAAUAGAAAACACAAAGAAAUGAGGGGGUUGUUUAAUGUUGUUCCAUAAUUUCCAAUUUUAUAGAGCUGUUAGUUUCCAUUAGUUUCCAUUAUUUAAAGGUGUUGGAAAAUGACCAUACUUAA